GGCGAACGCUGGCGGCGUGCUUAACACAUGCAAGUCGAACGGAAAGGCCCUGCUUUUGUGGGGUGCUCGAGUGGCGAACGGGUGAGUAACACGUGAGUAACCUGCCCUUGACUUUGGGAUAACUUCAGGAAACUGGGGCUAAUACCGGAUAGGAGCUCCUGCUGCAUGGUGGGGGUUGGAAAGUUUCGGCGGUUGGGGAUGGACUCGCGGCUCAUCAGCUUGUUGGUGGGGUAGUGGCUUACCAAGGCUUUGACGGGUAGCCGGCCUGAGAGGGUGACCGGCCACAUUGGGACUGAGAUACGGCCCAGACUCCUACGGGAGGCAGCAGUGGGGAAUAUUGCACAAUGGGCGGAAGCCUGAUGCAGCAACGCCGCGUGCGGGAUGACGGCCUUCGGGUUGUAAACCGCUUUCGCCUGUGACGAAGCGUGAGUGACGGUAAUGGGUAAAGAAGCACCGGCUAACUACGUG
rnacentral:rRNA from 1 species